GUUUUAAUAGUUUAACAAAAACAUUGGUCUUGUAAACCAAAAAUAAGAUUUUUCCUUUUAAA
rnacentral:tRNA from 1 species